UGAAGCUUCUACCUUUUUCCUUUUUUUUUUUUUUUUUUUACCGGGUCAAAACCCAUAUUUUACAGAAACUUCCUCGGCAUCACAUCCUGAGGUCUGUUUCUUUCCCUUCUGCGUUCUUUUGCACUUCGCUCUCUUCUCCACAAUUAAGGUUUCAACAUCGGCGCGACGGGGAAGACCUCGCGAGACACCACCACUCCUGCAGACGGAAGUACCUCUGGCUCCUUCGUCACGAUCCUUCUCCUGAUCGUGCAGAGAAGAAAGGCACGAGGAAGAGUCCAUCGACGGCGGCGAGUGGACCUCGCUUCUCAGGUGGUCGCCAACGGGCUUCUGCUCGUGAUCUUGCAGAUAAGAAACGCGCGAUGAUGAAGAGUCCAUCAAUGGCGGCGAGCGGACAUCACCUCUCAGGAUGUUGCCGAUGGCAGGUGAUCUGGGGCCCAAGAAAUCGAUGAGCUUCAUGGGUUUCUGGUGAAAAAAACAGGAAAGUGCUUCGCAAGAACAACAUAGGGCAACGCGGUUCAGGGAAUUUUGAGAGAGCGAAAGAGAGAGAGACAACGUUGGAGAGAAUAGAGAGGAAAAUAUAUAGUUUACCGUUGGAAUUAUGAUGGAUUUGUAGUCGAAUUUUGAGAGUGCGCUGAGGGAGAGUUGCAUUCCUAAUUUGAGUCAGGUUAAGAUUAGUAAAAUAGGAAAUAAUUUCAAGAUUCCAGAUUCAUUUCCUAAUUUGUUACAUUAUUUUCAUCAUGCAAUAGGACGGAACUUAAAGGCUUGAAAAAAAUUGAUUUAUUUUAACAAAAGAAAGAAUU